ACGAACGCUGGCGGCGUGCUUAACACAUGCAAGUCGAACGGAAAGGCCCUGCUUUUGUGGGGUGCUCGAGUGGCGAACGGGUGAGUAACACGUGAGUAACCUGCCCUUGACUUUGGGAUAACUUCAGGAAAAUGGGGCUAAUACCGGAAAGGAGCUCCUGCUGCAUGGUGGGGGUUGGAAAGUUUCGGCGGUUGGGGAUGGACUCGCGGCUUAUCAGCUUGUUGGUGGGGUAGUGGCUUACCAAGGCUUUGACGGGUAGCCGGCCUGAGAGGGUGACCGGCCACAUUGGGACUGAGAUACGGCCCAGACUCCUACGGGAGGCAGCAGUGGGGAAUAUUGCACAAUGGGCGGAAGCCUGAUGCAGCAACGCCGCGUGCGGGAUGACGGCCUUCGGGUUGUAAACCGCUUUCGCCUGUGACGAAGCGUGAGUGACGGUAAUGGGUAAAGAAGCACCGGCUAACUACGUG
rnacentral:rRNA from 1 species